rnacentral:rRNA from 1 species
UGGGGAAUAUUGGACAAUGGGGGCAACCCUGAUCCAGCCAUGCCGCGUGAGUGAUGAAGGCCCUAGGGUUGUAAAGCUCUUUUGUGCGGGAAGAUAAUGACGGUACCGCAAGAAUAAGCCCCGGCUAACUUCGUGCCAGCAGCCGCGGUAAUACGAAGGGGGCUAGCGUUGCUCGGAAUCACUGGGCGUAAAGGGUGCGUAGGCGGGUCUUUAAGUCAGGGGUGAAAUCCUGGAGCUCAACUCCAGAACUGCCUUUGAUACUGAAGAUCUUGAGUUCGGGAGAGGUGGGUGGAACUGCGAGUGUAGAGGUGAAAUUUCGUAGAUAUUCGCAAGAACACCAGUGGCGAAGGCGGCUCACUGGCCCGAUACUGACGCUGAGGCACGAAAGCGUGGGGAGCAAAACAGGAUUAGAUACCCUGGUAGUCCACGCCGUAAACGAUGAAUGCCAGCCGUUGGUGGGUUUACUCACCAGUGGCGCAGCUAACGCUUUAAGCAUUCCGCCUGGGGGAGUACGGUCGCAAGAUUAAAACUUAAAGGAAUUGACGGGGGUCAUAGCUGUUUCCU